rnacentral:rRNA from 1 species
AUUGAACGCUGGCGGCAUGCCUUACACAUGCAAGUCGAACGGCAGCACGGGAGCAAUCCUGGUGGCGAGUGGCGAACGGGUGAGUAAUAUAUCGGAACGUGCCCAGUCGUGGGGAUAACGUAGCGAAAGCUACGCUAAUACCGCAUACGAUCUACGGAUGAAAGCGGGGGAUCGCAAGACCUCGCGCGAUUGGAGCGGCCGAUAUCAGAUUAGGUAGUUGGUGAGGUAAAGGCUCACCAAGCCGACGAUCUGUAGCUGGUCUGAGAGGACGACCAGCCACACUGGGACUGAGACACGGCCCAGACUCCUACGGGAGGCAGCAGUGGGGAAUUUUUGGGACAAUGGGCGCAAGCCUGAUCCAGCAAUGCCGCGUGCAGGAUGAAGGCC